CCUACGGGUGGCAGCAGUGAGGAAUAUUGGUCAAUGGGCGAGAGCCUGAACCAGCCAAGUCGCGUGAAGGAUGACGGCCCUAUGGUUUGUAAACUUCUUUUAUAUGGGAAUAAAGUGAGCAACGUGUUCCUUUUUGUAUGUACCUUAUGAAUAAGCAUCGGCUAAUUCCGUGCCAGCAGCCGCGGUAAUACGGAGGUUGCGAGCGUUAUCCGGAUUUAUUGGGUUUAAAGGGUGCGUAGGGGGUUACUUAAGUCAGCGGUAAAAUUGUGUGGCUCAACCAUAAAGUGCCGUUGAAACUGUGUGACUUGAGUAUACGUGAGGUAGGCGGAAUGCGUGGUGUAGCGGUGAAAUGCAUAGAUAUCACGAAGAACUCCGAUCGCGAAGGCAGCGUACUAGACCAAGACUGACACUGAGGCACGAAAGCGGGGGUAUCAAACAGGAUUAGAGACCCCGGUAGUC
rnacentral:rRNA from 1 species